ACUACAAACCGGGCUAUCGCGCUUCCCCCGGCUUAGCCGGGGGGAGUGAGGAAAGUCUGGACAGCAUAGGGCAAUGUACCGGUGAACAGCCGGGUCUUUUUCGACUGGCUUGCCAGGAGGAAGGGAACAGACAGUGCCACAGAAAAUUACAGCUUUCAUCCCGACCCUGGUCGGGACUAGUCCCGACUUAGGUCGGGAGAGUGAUGGUGAAAACGUGGGGUAAGAGCCCACGGCUCUGACAGGUGACUGCCGGGGCGGGUAAACCUUGCAUGCUGAAAUGCCAUGUAUACCAGCGUUGAAGGGCGGCUCGUCCGAUUUCUCCUGUCUCGGCUGAGCCGAGACGGGAGGAUACGUUGGGUGGGUAGGCAGAAUGAUCCGGUCAGUAAUGGCCGGGCAAGAUAAAUGAUAGCCUCCCGAUCUCGGCCUGGCCUCGAUCGGGAUACAAAAUCCGGCUUACAGGUUUGUAGUUAUU
rnacentral:RNase_P_RNA from 1 species